UAUUUUAUUUUUUUUCCCCCUCCGACCGUCUGCGCCGCCUCGAUAACCCAGGCUUCUUGUCUUUGGAACGGAGGCGACGGAGCCUGGACGAGGAAGCAGGGAGCAGUCGGGCUGGGCGGCAAAGCCAACCAUACAGGAUUGGUUUGUAUUGGGAUAGCGUUUAGGAGCACGUGGGCCGCGUAGGAACCCGCGUGGUGCGCAGCUAUAUUACACACAGGCGGUUGGCGCGCUGUUGUUGCGCGCUGCCUUUUAGCGUUGCCCAUGCUUCCUUGUCCAGCUGCAUUGGAGAUGGAGCGCGCGUACAUUCCGCCCACCACUCUCUGCCUGUAUCGCUCUGGCCCUGCUGUGUGGGUUUUUAGCCCGGGGCCGCCGAAGCCAUUAGGCCAUCAUAUUCCUAUCUCCAUGAUUUAAGCCAGCCUUCCCCUAUAUUGUAGAAGACCACAACUCUUGUUUCCAGAAACCAUGGUGGGUCACUCUGCUGAGAGAUGAUGUUGGCUAUGGGCAAACACCGUUCCAGAUUAGGAAAAGAUGGACUGGCAUUGGCCAGAAGCGUUUGAACGGCAGUUCACAAGAACCUCAGCUAGCAAGAAAUGUCACCUAUGAAGAAGAACAAGAUAAACUGUAUAUAAUCAUGUUUAAUGAUAUCUGUUAGUAAGAACAGUUGGAGUUACAGCCCAAUAUGGUAUUGUGGUGGGGAACACUGAUCUAGGAAAAAUUCUUCCUCAGCUCCCGUUUGGUCCUCUUACAAAUAUAUUUUCUGUACUUCAUGUUCAUGUGGGAAUAGGUAUUAAACUAAAUUUCCUCAAGGCACA